CAAGAAGAGGCAGCAGGGUGAUGAAAGGCGGUGCAAGCAACUAGAUGAAAGGCACAUAAAAAAAUAAAUUGAGCAACAGGGUGAGAAUUAGUUUUGGAUGAUUGAUCAAAGAUUAUUGGAUGACGCAGAUGAGAAGACAAGAUUAGUGGGAGGAGGCAGCCGCUCCUCCAGCUGAGGACUUUUUCAAGAGUCGCCAGGAAUAAUGAACAAAGAGGCGAGAUAAGUGCGUGCGGCCAAGACGAACGUUGAAUCGCUGCGAAAAAACGCCAUGGAGAUAAGAGCACAUACGCUGCGUGAGGCUCUUUGAACUUCCCGAUGAUCUGAAUGUGGAACAUCAGAAGUGAAAAAAGUAUGCGCGCUAACCUCGUGGGUCAUGAAAGAGACCGCGUCACCUCAAAGCAAAGCACCAGUAAGGGUCGCAGGUUGUGCUAGAGCCUCUCCCAGCUGUCAACGGGCAGGAGGCAGGGUACACCCUGAACUGGUUGCCAGCCAAUUGUAGGACACACAGUUGCAUUCAAAAUCACAUCUAGGGGCAAUUUAGUCUGUCCAAUUAAUGUUGCAUGUUUUCCCGGAUGUGAGAGGAAACCGGAAAGCCCGGAGGAAACCCACGCAAACACCGCGAGAACAUGGAAACUCCACACAGGCGGGCCAGGGAUCGAACCCGGGACCUCAAAACUAUGAGGCCAACGCUUUCCAGCUGAACCACCGUGCCGCCAAGUUAAUUAAAUACAUUUUUUAAUGUAUUUAUAUUGUCUUUUACUCUAUUUUAUUUUUAUAGAGUACAAUACUAUUCGAAAUGUGUUUAUGUAGAACUUUAAGGGCUUAACAGAUUUUAAUGGGGAAACACGAUUUUCUACAUUAGCAAAUUAAACUCAUCUCGUAAGUCAAGGUACCACUGCAUUUGAUUAUAUUUAUUGUAAACAAUAAAUUUAAAGUUUUGUUUAUUUAAAUAAUUAUACGUAAUUAGUUAAUUAAAAUUCAACUAUCCAUCCAUCCAUUUUCGAUACUGCUAAUCCUCACUUGAGUCACGAUAAAUAAUACAACUAAAAGGACAAGAAAGAAUGAUUAGUCUACUAUGA